rnacentral:lncRNA from 1 species
AUUUUUGUUAAGAUGGUUACGAGGGGAUUUGGGAUAGUGGUGAUUCUGGAAAUCAUUUGGAGCAGAUAUGGUAUUAAUGGGUUUGAUUGGGAGAAUAAUUUUGACUGGAGUAGUUUUGGCUAUAAAAGCAGAUGGACGUUGUUCUGUUGUUUUAUAGUUUCAACUUGUCUUACAUAUAACUACAUUUUUUUCACUUCGUGGCUUUUGGUUCUUUUUUCAAUGACUCAGGGCCAGCUAGUAGGUACGGGGGGAGAUAUGAAGAAUGGUGAGAUGGCUCGGAAGCGGUUGAAGAUAUCCGUUCCUCACUUUGAUAACUCGGACCUGAUCAAGAG